UACGAAGGGGGCUAGCGUUGCUCGGAAUUACUGGGCGUAAAGGGCGCGUAGGCGGUUAUUUAAGUCAGGGGUGAAAGCCCGGGGCUCAACCUCGGAACUGCCUUUGAUACUGGAUAUCUUGAGUUCGGGAGAGGUGAGUGGAAUGCCGAGUGUAGAGGUGAAAUUCGUAGAUAUCGGGAGGAACACCAGUGGCGAAGGCGGCUUCCUGGCCUGUUCUUGACGCUGAGGCGCGAAAGCUAGGGGAGCAAACGGG
rnacentral:rRNA from 1 species